UCUUUUUCCUCUUCUUCAUCUUCCAUAUUUUGUUUUUUAGAAGACCUGCUUUCUUCUUCAGACUAAAAUGAACUAAACUUUGCCAAGUUUGGCAACCGUUUUCCUGUCUCUUAAUCUUUUAGUUUCAGAAAAAGGGUGGACAUGAGAAAAGCCCAGCCAACUGGUACUUAGUUUUCAUGCUCUGAAGUUGAAUGCUAGAAGUUGCUCAUGGCUUAUCUAGAAAUUAUUUUGAUGUUCUUUUAGAACUAGCAUUUGAAAUAAGGAACAAGGUAAGAAUCAAGGAAUGCUGGAGGCUCUUGGAGAAAAAGAGGUGGCUGAGCAGAUGAUGAUUUGCAAUGACUUUGCCAAUGCCAGAGAGCAUUUUCUUCGAUUGCAUCAGCAUUUCCCUGUGAAUGAAAACAUUGAUUCUAUGUUAAGUUUAUGUGACAUACUAACUGCUGCCAGAGUGGAGCUUCCAGGUUGCGGAAUUGAUCAUUACUGGGUCCUUCAGGUUUGCCCUCUUCUACAAUUGAUGAUAUUAGGUGCCGAUACCAGAAGCUUGUCACCUUGUUGCAGCCUAUCAGCACAAAAUUCCCUUGCACCCAAUUGGCUCUGAAACUUAUAAAGGAUGCAUUUAUAGUGCUUACAGACCAUAAAAAGCGUUCUGAAUUUGAUUUGAAAAGAAUUACAAGUUGGGAGAAUUAUAAAUCUUUUGAUUUGCAAGCAUCAAGCUAUCAAAUUAGCCUAAAUAAAGAGAUAAUAAGUACUUAUCAAAAUUAUUCAAGUCAAGUUUGUGAUGGGGGUGUUAAACCAUCUGAAAUGCUUCCAAAGGAUGAUCAAGUAAAUUUGCAAGGCUUGGAUAAACAACAAUUUGAAAUUAAUGUUGGAGAAAUAAAUUUGUCUCUUGCUAAUCUGAAGUCUGCAAGAAAUAUUCAGGUAGAUAUAGAUAAAAGUGUGGACUUUGUAAAAUUGCCUACUGCAUUGCAGCCUACAAGUUUGGAGGAGAUUUGUUCUUCAAAAGCUACGCUGCAGCAAAGGUCUUUCCAUGAAUUCUACAACUUUGACAGUGAUAGAAGAUUUCAGAAUUUUGAGGUAGGUCAAAUAUGGGCUGCAAAUUACAGAGCUAAUCUGUGUCAUAAUUAUCGGUAUGCUCGAAUUGAUUCAACAUCAAAAGCAGCAACUUUUGUUACAUGGUUGAAACCAAUCCCAAUUAGUUAUAGUGAGAGAAGGUGGUGUGACGCAGGCAUGCCUGUUGCUUGUGGAUCAUUUGAAUUGAGUUCAGAAAUGCGGAUGAGCAUUGAGGUCAGAUGGCCAGAGAUUGUAUCGUACAAAUGUUCUUGGACUUGUGGUGCAAUGGACGAACAAUUUGAAAUCUACCCUAGAAAAGGUGAAAUUUGGGCAGUUUAUAAGGAUUGGAUCUUGAGGAUUGGUCUUACAAUCCUGACUCUGUCAAAGGGUCAUGUUUGGUUAAAGUAGAUGGUUUUAAAUGCAUCUUUGAGAGACAAACAAUUGGAGGAAACCCUGUUAGCUUUUAUAUUCCUCCAAACAAUCUGUAUAUUUUCUCUCAUAAGAUUCUAGCAUAUAGGUUCAAGGGCAGGGAGCUUGAUAAGGUGGAGGAAGGAAUGUAUGAGCUUGAUCGCUCAGCCUUGCCAGAUUAUGUUAUUCAAGAUGCAAAGAUAAAAUAUUUAUCUAACUUUACGUUUCAAAAACAACUAACUCCAUUCAAGUCAUCUCCAGAGAACAAAAUUUUGAUGCCCAACUGGUCUCACAACGACUUCAUUUCAGGUGAGGUUUGGGCUGUGUACUUGGGAGAGGAUAAUACGCCGCAAAAAUAUGUGAGAGUAAAUAAUGUAACAUCAGAGAAUCAGGUGUGUGUCACUUUCUUAGAACCUCUACCUGUUCUUGAACAUGAAAUUGAAUGGACAAGACAGGACCUACCUAUGGUGUGUGGGAUAUUUAAAGUUGGUGAAAGGAGUGCCAAUAUAGAAAUAUCUCUUUUCUGUUCUGAUAUUUAA